ensembl:lncRNA
GGAAGCAUGCUGAAUAAGAAGAAUGUUCAAGCCAUCUUCUCUGAGAUCUUUCCUGUCCCUCAAGCACAUGAAGACAGAAAGCAAAGAAGAUUCUGCAAGUGAAUCACUGGCUAGGUAAGUGGUGAGUACAAGCACCCCAGAUUCACUUUUAACUUGCAUCUUCUUGUUAAAUACUUGUCUUGCUAUAUACACAUCUCUUCCAUGCUCUCAGCAAUGGGGUAUUCCCUCUGAUUCAGCAGAGAAGAGUGCAAGGUGAACAAGUAAAGGUGAGGGAAUUAUUGGACAGUAAGCUGGUGUGAGUGUAAGGUGUCUGUCUAACUGAGUCUAAGGGUAUGCUGACAUUGGAGCUGGAGGUGUAAUUCCCAGUUCAGGUAGACAUACCCACACUAGCUCUGAUCAAGCUAGCAUGCUAAUAGCAGUGUAGCCACAGAGGUGCAAUCAGUGGGAUGGGCAGCCGGCCUGAGUACAAUCCUGUCUGAGACCCUAGGUAUGUACUCAGGCAGCUAGCACUUCCUGCUGCCGUGGCUACACUUCUAAUUUUAGCAGGCUAGCUCUAUCAGAGUUAGCACAGGUAUGUCUCCUUGAGCUGGAAAUUGCACCGUCCAGCUCCUGUGAAGACGAACCCUAAGACAGCCUAAGUCUACUUGAUGUACCUGAGACAUUGAGAUGCCCAGAUGGAUAUAUACAUUACACUUUUUAUUCACCUCUAUUCUCUGUCCACAGUUCUCAUCCACCGGGUAGAAACUCUCCCACCAUAUGCUCAACAGGCAAUCAGGAGGCCUCUGUCUGCUCCCACUAGUAGAUCUGAGUGGGGCAGAGCAGCCAGGAGGAGGCGACAAGCAACAGUGGCAGCAGCAGCAGCAGCAACAAGUGGAGUCUACAAGGACAGAAGGUCAGAGGGGCCCAGUACUAGCCUGAAGCAGGGCAAGGACGGUCUUAUUUUCUUCCCAUAUUGCUGA